rnacentral:pre_miRNA from 1 species
CCCUCCUGGGUCCUCCAUUUCCUCAUCUGGCACAUGGACAGAUGGCUGACCCAUCCCCAGAGUCGCCUUGUUGUUCCUGCCCCAGGUGCGGCAGCUGGUGCCUCGGAGGG